rnacentral:misc_RNA from 1 species
GCCAUCUUCUUCAACGGUCCAACCAGCCUCGUUGCAGAGCGCUUUAAGGACCUCAUUAUUGUCGCAGUGCUUAGGGAGCUUGUAAUUUCCAUACAUUCUCAGUCCAGCAUAGAUCUUCGCCGCGAUCGCCCUUCUUCUCCUCUCUCUUCUCUUAUUAUUCUCUCUCUCCUUCCACGUCGGCAUUCUCGUCCCCGACGUCAUUUUCCGACGAAGCUCCCUCAACACUACUACUGCAACAGAGCCAGAAAAGCUAAUCGAUAGAAACUCUUCUCAAUUAGAAAUUUUCUCGAGAGGCAAACAGGG